AAUUAGUUUUCGCAAAGCAAAAUUAUUACUUUCGCGCAUAUAAAGUGUAGCAUUUCAGAACAAUCAGUGUAAAGCAGUCAAACGCUUUUAAGCUACAAAAAUGAGGUUACAUUUUUUAGACUAUCUUUUGUUAUUUGUCUUCGUGCUAUUUUGUUUUAGCACAGUUAUAGAGGCCAAGCCAUUCUUCUUCUUUGAUCCUGAUUUUUCUAGACCGAAGCCUAGUCCGCUUAAUAUAUUUCUCGAUGCUAUUCGCUGUUAUAUUAAAGAAGGAUCUCCAUCUACAUCGGUAAAGGAUGCUUUGACAACUCUCUUGAAAGCAUUGCAAAAUGAGAGUUAAUUACAGCAAUUUUU